rnacentral:lncRNA from 1 species
CUCGAAGGAGGAUAAGGAGAGAAGAGAUGCUAUAGACACAAAGAACCAGGCUGAUUCUGUUGUCUACCAGACUGAGAAGCAGCUGAAAGAGCUCGGAGACAAGGUUCCCGGUCCAGUGAAAGAGAAAGUAGAGGCAAAAUUGCAGGAGCUUAGGGAUGCAAUUUCAGGGGGCUCAACACAAGGUAUGAAGGAUGCCAUGGCUGCCCUCAACCAAGAAGUGAUGCAGCUUGGCCAGUCACUCUACAACCAACCCGGUGCAGCAGGAGGUCCUGGUGGACCUGCACCUGGUAGUGAAACUGGACCUUCAGAUUCAUCAAACAAGGGGCCUGAUGGGGACGUAAUUGAUGCAGAUUUCGC